UACGGAGGGUGCGAGCGUUGUCCGGAAUCAUUGGGCGUAAAGGGCGCGUAGGUGGCCCCUCAAGCGUGCGGUGAAAGUCAGGGGCUCAACCCCUGAUCGGCCGUGCGAACUGGGGAGCUUGAGCACUGUAGAGGCAGGCGGAAUUCCGGGUGUAGCGGUGGAAUGCGUAGAUAUCGGGAGGAACACCUGUGGCGAAAGCGGCUCACUGGACCAUAACUGACGCUGAUGCACGAAAGCUGGGGGAGCAAACAGG
rnacentral:rRNA from 1 species